rnacentral:rRNA from 1 species
ACGCUGGCGGCAGGCCUAACACAUGCAAGUCGAGCGGUAGAGAGAAGCUUGCUUCUCUUGAGAGCGGCGGACGGGUGAGUAAUGCCUAGGAAUCUGCCUGGUAGUGGGGGAUAACGUUCGGAAACGGACGCUAAUACCGCAUACGUCCUACGGGAGAAAGCAGGGGACCUUCGGGCCUUGCGCUAUCAGAUGAGCCUAGGUCGGAUUAGCUAGUUGGUGAGGUAAUGGCUCACCAAGGCGACGAUCCGUAACUGGUCUGAGAGGAUGAUCAGUCGCACUGGAACUGAGACACGGUCCAGACUCCUACGGGAGGCAGCAGUGGGGAAUAUUGGACAAUGGGCGAAAGCCUGAUCCAGCCAUGCCGCGUGUGUGAAGAAGGUCUUCGGAUUGUAAAGCACUUUAAGUUGGGAGGAAGGGUUGUAGAUUAAUACUCUGCAAUUUUGACGUUACCGACAGAAUAAGCACCGGCUAACUCUGUGCCAGCAGCCGCGGUAAUACCAGAGGGUGCAAGCGUUAAUCGGAAUUACUGGGCGUAAAGCGCGCGUAGGUGGUUUGUUAAGUUGGAUGUGAAAUCCCCGGGCUCAACCUGGGAACUGCAUUCAAAACUGACUGACUAGAGUAUGGUAGAGGGUGGUGGAAUUUCCUGUGUAGCGGUGAAAUGCGUAGAUAUAGGAAGGAACACCAGUGGCGAAGGCGACCACCUGGACUAAUACUGACACUGAGGUGCGAAAGCGUGGGAGCAAAC